rnacentral:rRNA from 1 species
UACGAAGGCUGCAAGCGUUAUCCGGAAUUAUUGGGUUUAAAGGGUGCGUAGGCGGACCUGUAAGUCAGUGGUGAAAGCCUGUUGCUCAACAACAGAACUGCCAUUGAUACUGCAAGUCUUGAGUACAGUUGAGGUAGGCGGAAUGUGUCAUGUAGCGGUGAAAUGCUUAGAUAUGACACAGAACACCGAUUGCGAAGGCAGCUUGCUAAGCUGUAACUGACGCUGAUGCACGAAAGCGUGGGGAGCAAACAGG